GCUUUCUGUCCUUCUGUCUGUUCUCAGUCGGAGUCGACUCGUACUUAUCUGGAGUCGACUCGAGCUCGUGCCAGUGAACUUGAUACGCUUGGAGUCGACUCGUGAUACUCGGGAGUCGACUCGAGUCUCAGGCAUUGGUUCAAAUAGACUCCUUAACUUAUCCAAAAAUUAUGAACCAAGUCUUGGGACACUAGACAGGAUUUUCACUGAAAUACUCAAUUGAAUUCAUUAGUAAUCAAAAGAUAUACUCAAAUGCUUUGAGCUCAUCAAAAUCAA
rnacentral:lncRNA from 1 species